UAUGUGUUUUGUAAAAAUGGUAUAAUAACAAACAAAAGGAAUACCAAAACAUGAUACAAUGCAAUUGGUAAAACAUUUAAUGGCAUUCAAUAAAAUUUAUUAAAAUCAAGAAUCGGAUAUUCCAUAGUUCCAUCCAGAUACCAGAUAAAUACCACAUAUUCAUUAAAAAUUAUUUCUUGAAUUUCACGGUAUUUUCUUAAAAAUCUGCAAAAUAAUAUUGAACAAAGAAAAGUUAUGCCUAUUUUGAUGAAUAAGGUAUUUUCAGAAUCAUUUUUUUUUAAAAUUAAUACUUAAUCAUUACAAUUAUCUUGAAUCAUGUAUUUGUUUAGAAUCUACAAAUUGUAAUUAGGAACAAUUAUAAUUAUACAUUUAUUACUGCACUUAUGACAAAACAUUUGGUCAAGACACAUGAUUGCUACUUGUCACAUAUAUAUAAUAUACAUAUUAUAUAACACAUAAUAUAAGUAUAAAUAUAUAGUUACAAAAAAAAAAUGUUAGUUUACACAAUUUAUCAAAUUAAAGUCAAAUUAAACAUAUUUACACCACUUUUUAUAAAAUAAUAAAAUAAAAGUAUAAAAACACUUUCAACUAAAAUUAAUGAAUACAUAUAACCAAAUUAUCUACGUGUUUGUUUUCUCCUUUUACUUCCUUUUGCAUAUUGGAACUGAACCAGAAUCAUGUCUUAUAAUGAUAUAUAUAUAUCAUUUAUAUAUACAUAUAUUAUAUGUUAAAACUUAAAUCUAAGUUUCAGGUAACAAAGGUUCAACUUUAAAUAUGUGUGUACUAUGGAAACUACAUAAGUAGUUUUAUUUAAAAAAGACAGUCUUAUAGGAAUAUGAUUUAUAAAAUAAUAAUAAUAAUAAUAAUAAUAAAAAUAAUAAUAAUAAAAAACUAUAGACUAUUAAAUUGCACACCUGUGGAAAGAAAAGAAAAAAAGGAACUAAACCUAUAUUGAAAAAAUACACUGGCUUUGGCAUUGAGCAAGUUCAAUCUGAUUUUACCCAUGUGCGGGUAAUUCACAGGAAGUUAAAAAAAAUGUUAAAUUAAUAUUGCAAAGA